CUGCAUCCCCGUGGGUUCCGUGCUGCGCUGCUCCCCGCGUCUCUCCUUUUUAGAUGCCGUUACCCUAACCCAGCUUGUCCCUUCCCACCCCCAGGGCUAGCAAGACCAGUUGGUGUUCCAGCUUAGGAUGUGUUUUUAGAGUACUCUGAGAACUAUAGUGCUGCAGUGGCCCAGCUUGUGCUAUGAGAUGGUUCUUAUGGACCAUUAUCAGGUCCUGAGGGACACUGGGCAGGAGAGCUUUGGCCAGGUGAUAAUAGCCCGCCAUCUCUUCACUGGACCAGAGGUGGUGGUGAAAGAAGCUAUCAGUCAGAGAAUCGCCACUUGCCUUCAACAUGUUGUUGCAUGCUGUGCUUCUGCCGGCUGGUUUUCAGAGGAAAAGUGGCUCCUGUUGAAGAAGGCCAGAGAUAUCCUAGGUUCUGAAACAGUGGCUCCAGUGAGGAUGCAGAGAUGAGACAUACAAACUAAUGAACAGCCAGAAGACCCAGAAGACCCCAAGUUCUGAGGAUCCUGACAUCGUGGUGCCAGCCUUUGGUCAGGAGUGAGGUGUGCCAAGUGGCUCAGGCUUCUCCUUGCAGAUUCCAGCCAGGAGUGCAUCUGGAUUCACCAGGACUCUCCUCUGCCUCCACCUGCCAGAGACAUCAGACUCUUUCCCUGGGACACUUCCUCUUUCCCUGCUCUUGUCUGUCCUUCUGGGAUAGCAGAGAUAGUUUUUAAUAAAUUUAUUUCUCACAAACUGUAUAAUAA